UACGGAGGGUGCAAGCGUUGUUCGGAUUUACUGGGCGUAAAGCGCGCGCAGGUGGGUGUGCAAGUCGGAAGUGAAAUCUUGAGGCUCAACCUCGAGGCUGCUCCCGAAACUGCACGCCUAGGGACUGGUAGAGGCUGGUAGAAUUCCUGGUGUAGCGGUGAAAUGCGCAGAUAUCAGGAGGAACACCGGUGGCGAAGGCGGGUCUCUGGGCCGAUACUGACGCUGAGGAGCGAAAGCGCGGGGAGCGAACAGG
rnacentral:rRNA from 1 species